CAAUAGCGUAUAUUAAUGCUGCUGCUGUUAAAAGCUCGUAGUUGGAUUAAGAGUUUCACGGUGCUGUGUGGCCCAUCGUAGUCAUAUCCCCAUCGGGUUAUGGUGAAAGUGCGGAUCAAACCCACAGCAUUAAGCCGUGUGCUCUAAUAGCCCGAAACGGUUGAUGGUGGACGGCUCCUUCAUUGGGGCUGAAAGCGAUUUCGCAUUUACCUUAUGCAUAAGUCACGUCGGGCGAUGUCACUGUGAACAAACCAGCGCGUUCAAAGCAGGCUUUUGCCAGAAUGUUCGAGCAUGGAAUGACAAGGGAUCGACCAAAAUGGUCCUUUUUGUUGGUUUCUGUACCAAAAUGGGUAACUCUGUAUACAAAGACUGGACAAGAUCCCCAACUCUUCGGGUUGGGGCCUUGACCAGCUUGUAUUCAAACGGGAUCAAUAGAGACAAUCGGGUCGUAAGUACUCGGAUGUCAGAGGUGAAAUUCUUAG
rnacentral:rRNA from 1 species